rnacentral:misc_RNA from 1 species
GCAAAUGUUAAAACUGUAUAAAAUUAUACAAUAAUCUAGUAUGAUUUACAAUGCCUUGGUUCACACUUCUUUCUAUUACAUUCUAGGCAAACAUUUGAAGAAAGCGAAGCCAUUCCUAAAACUCACAUCCAUAUGGUCCUUCCAUACUUUGAUAUAUUUUCUUUCAAAAUAGUUUUGUUAAUGGUAUCUUUUCCUCCGUUUUU